rnacentral:rRNA from 1 species
AGAGUUGAUCCUGACUUAGGACGAACGCUGGCGGCGUGCCUAACACAUGCAAGUCGAGCGAGGAGAUUCCUUCGGGAUGAUCCUAGCGGCGGACGGGUGAGUAACGCGUGGGCAAUCUGCCUUUUGCAGGGGAAUAACACAGGGAAACCUGUGCUAAUACCGCAUAACACUGCACCGUGGCAUCACGGAGCAGUCAAAGGAGCAAUCCGGCAAAAGAGGAGCCCGCGUCUGAUUAGUUAGUUGGUGAGGUAAUGGCUCACCAAGACUGCGAUCAGUAGCCGAACUGAGAGGUUGAACGGCCACAUUGGGACUGAGACACGGCCCAGACUCCUACGGGAGGCAGCAGUGGGGAAUAUUGCGCAAAUGGGGGAAACCCUGACGCAGCAACGCCGCGUGAAGGAUGAAGGCCUUCGGGUUGUAAACUUUUUUGAUCGGGGACGAAAAUAAUGACGGUACCCGAAAAACAAGUCACGGCUAACUACGUGCCAGCAGCGGC